rnacentral:misc_RNA from 1 species
CCUACGUGAGAAGCUUCCGUUUCACGGCCGGCGUCCAUCUUCGUCAUCGCUGUGUAGCGUGAGUUCAACACUGCCACACACUACACAGUUUUGGUUGAGACUUUUGGAGCAGUGCUUUGUGCGGCUACAAAAAAGAGCUGCCCGUUCUUUAAAAACAGAACGACAUCACAACAGUAUUAUCUUUAGGCUAAACGCGGGCUCAGCUACAUUGCCCGUUCUAAUAAAUAACUCAACGAAAUUAUUGCACUUGGGUCAAUCAGCGAAGGCAACCAUGGCUGACGUUGUUCCAACCGGAAUGCCUAGAGGUGGAGGCGGUGGAUUUCGUGGACGAGGUGGUCCACCCCGGGGACGCGGUGGAUUUGACCGCGGCGGCAGAGGAGGCCCCCCACGAGGAGGUAUGAUGAGAGGGCGAGGAGGACCUGGUGGAAUGAGAGGUGGUCCUCCUGGUGGAAGAGGUCGAGGAGGUCCCCCAAAUAGAGGACGUGGUGGGCAUUUCCCCCCUGGAGGACCACCUGACAAUGGUGGAGUAGGAGCGCCAGGGGCACCCAGAGGCCGUGGUAACGGAGGUGGAUUUAGAGGUAGAGGUCGUGGCGAUUUCGGAGGACGUGGUGGUGGUGGUUUCAGAGGUCGAGGCGGCCUUGGUGGUGGUGAUAGAGGUGGUCGUGGUGGUCGAGGUGCACCUCGUGGAGGACCUAUGGGAGGUGGACGAGGUAAUGGUGACCGUGGUAGAGGUAUGGGAGGUCGAGGAGGUCCACAAAAGCGAGGAGGUGGACCACCAGUCUCUGUAGGGCCACCAAAGAGGCCACGAUUUGAUGCUCCACCUGCACCCCCAGCAAAUGGUUAUGCUCCACCUCCAGCUCCAGGUUACGGAGCUUCAGGUAAUGGGUAUGCUGCUCCUCCACCACCUGCUCCAGGUUAUGGUGCUAGUUAUCCACCCCAGCAAGGAUAUGCACAAGGCUACCAAGGCUAUGAAAAUUACCAGCAACCACCAGAGUAUGCGCAACCACCUGGUUAUGCACCAGCUCCCCCACCCCCAGACAACAGAUAUGGUGCCCCACCAGUAGCAAAUCCAGGAUAUGCAGAUCCUUAUGGUUAUAAAGCACCUGCUCCAGAUACAUAUGCAGCCACAUAUCAACCUGAAGCAGUUGACAGCGGCUACUAUAAUUAUUCUUCAGGUUAUGAUUAUCAGGGGCAAAAUACUAACUAUACACCCAUGAAUUAUGGAGCGAACUAAGUAAAUAAAACCAAAUCUACCAUCUCAUGAUUAAGCUGUUCAUGGAGAUGGCUAAGGAGUCGAUUUGGUGUCUCUGUCAAUGGUCAACUAUUUUUGGAUUGAAAUUCAAGACUGGACAACCACCUGAAAUCGUGAAAAUGAAGAAUCAAUGCAGAAGCCGGGUUCCUCAAGAAGUUUCUCAUCUCCACUGUGAUAAAUAAUAAGUACUUAAUUUUUUCCGAUGUGAAGAAGUACUGCUUUCGACAACUUGCACUG